rnacentral:rRNA from 1 species
CGCAGGCCUGACGGAGCAAGACCGCGUGCGGGAUGACGGCCUAAUGGUUGUAAACCGCUUUUCUCUGGGAAGAUGAUGACGGUACCAGAGGAAUCAGCCUCGGCUAACUCCGUGCCAGCAGCCGCGGUAAUACGGAGGAGGCAAGCGUUAUCCGGAAUUAUUGGGCGUAAAGCGUCCGUAGGUGGUUAUUCAAGUCUGCUGUCAAAGCGUGGGGCUUAACUCCAUAGAGGCAGUGGAAACUGGAUGACUUGAGUGCGGUAGGGGUCGAGGGAAUUCCCAGUGUAGCGGUGAAAUGCGUAGAUAUUGGGAAGAACACCAGUGGCGAAAGCGCUCGACUGGGCCUGCACUGACACUGAGGGACGAAAGCUAGGGGAGCG